GGGGCUGUGGAUUAGUAGGUCAAAGUGCCUGUCUAGCAAACAGGAGAUCCUGGGUUCAAAUCCCAGCAGUUCCU